GAGAGAGCGAGCGAGAGAGACAGACAGACAGACGUAGUAACGACAGACGCACCAAUCUUAAAAUGUAGAGAACUAAAAACUCUGCACCAGGGUGGUGACUGCCAUAGCACUGUCCGAGAAGCGAGGGAAGCGAGCAGUGGGAUGAGCGCGACUUGGCUCACCUCCUUGGAGGCUCCCCAGUCACUAACAACCGAAAAAGAUAAACGAAACGUUUAGCUCAUGUGUUGUGGGCACCCUCCUUUUCUCUGUCUCACCGCCAGAAGAUUCUAGAAACUGCUUUGCAGACUCUCCUCGGGGACUUAGAAGGUGGCAUCUGAAACCGAUGAUUAGAUGGGCCAUUCCAUAUGUGAUGCUGGGACGACUGGGUAGCCAUCCGGAAAAAAUAAAGUCCGAUUUAUAGGGGAACUCGUACACUAGGACAAACACGAAGUGAGCUAGAGGUGGGAAUGCAAAAAGAUCAACAAUUCAAAGGACAGUGGGCAAAGACCAUGAACACGCGGUUCACAGAAAACAAUAGCGGAUCUUAAGCACCUGGAAAGAUGAACAACCUUGCUCGUGAACAAACGACUGGAUAUUACGCAGGAGUCUGAUAACAGGACGGUUGGGCAAGGCUGUGGGAAACAGGCGCCGGCUGAGAAAGCUGGCUGUGCUCUUCGAGUCUCCGUCCCCGGCUUAUCAUUCCCAGCUCCCCUGAAGCGACAGUCAGGGGGUCCCUGGGGGGGGGGGGGUUUGCAGGACAUUUGGACAAUGGGCCUGACCGUCACAUCUUGGUGUGGCCCUAACUUUGCAAGCACUUUGGUCUGUGCCCCUUGAUGUGAGCUGGCCAAGGGAGACCCACGUUACCCAAACCCACAAGGAGCUGGUGCAGGAACUAGGACGGGAAAUCAUUUUUUAAGAUAUUUUAUUUAUUCAUCUUUAAGUAGGCCCCACACCCAACAUGGGGCUUGAACUCAGACCCUGAGAUCAAGAGUCCCGUGCUCCACCGACUGAGCCAACCGGGCGCCCCCUAGAAUGGGAAAUCAUUACUUUACCACGGGAAAUACUCCUUUGCCAUGACAGAACAUGCAGCUCUGCAAUCCGAAGCACCUCAUUCUAAAGAUCAAAACGCCCGCAAAGUUAACUUAGUGAGCACACGAUGGCCUCGUAAGCGUGGAAGCGAGCAGAACUGUAGUAGAACACAGUGAAGGUUCUAAGUACCACAAGCCACAAGAGGUUUGCUAACCCCUUUGUAUGUGUACGGAUCACAUGACAUACUAUUUAUUCGUUCAUUUAUUCAACUAAAUAGACUAAGCGUCCAGGUGCCGUUCAAAGCUCUGGAGAUGUAAAUGGUGGACAACACAGACCAAGAUCCCUGCUCUAGAGCUUACACGCUGUUGAGCUAAAAGGCAACAGACACGUGUUUAAACGUGGAGUGAUCCCGUGCUAUGGGAUAAAAGAAAGCCAGGUAAGGGAGAAGCCGGGGCCCCGGGUGGAGGAGGGAAGAUGAAGCCCAGGAGUCUAUGCCGGCUGUUCGUAUUCUCACUUUCUACAUGAGGAGGCUGCAGAGAAGUGACUUGCCUGAGGUACUUUCCCUGUGUUUGGCUCUCCCAGACGUACUGUAUCCCAAACAUGUCUCGUUGUUCCCAAUAAUGAUGUGCAGUAAGUUCUCAUGUCAUCCUCUCCCAGUUUAGAGAUAACGGGUUGAAGGGGGAGGGUGAAUCGAGGAGGCCAAGGUACAUACUAGGUCACACUAGGUGAACCGGGCUUAGAGGCCAGGUAUUCGGAGCCGAUGCUCUUAGGUGCUGCACCAGACGGCGGGAAGACCUGUGUGUCAGACUCAGCAACACUUAGUCUCCUCGUGGGCUGCACACACAAGAAUCGCUCUUCUCGGGGCGCCUGGGUGGCUCAGUCGUUAAGCGUCUGCCUUCCGCUGGGGUCAUGACCCCGGGGUCCUGGGAUCGAGCCCCGCGUCGGGCUCCCUGCUCGGCGGGAAGCUUGCUUCUCC